rnacentral:rRNA from 1 species
UCUUUCUUUGCUGGCGACCGGCGCACGGGUGAGUAACACGUAUCCAACCUGCCCUUUACUCGGGGAUAGCCUUUCGAAAGAAAGAUUAAUACCCGAUAGUAUAAUGAUUCCGCAUGGUUUCAUUAUUAAAGGAUUCCGGUAAAGGAUGGGGAUGCGUUCCAUUAGGUUGUUGGUGAGGUAACGGCUCACCAAGCCUUCGAUGGACAGGGGUUCUGAGAGGAAGGUCCCCCACAUUGGAACUGAGACACGGUCCAA